rnacentral:rRNA from 1 species
GACAGAGGUGCCGAGCGUUAGGCGGAAUCACUGGGCUUAAAGCGUGUGUAGGCGGGCGGGCAAGUACCUUGUGAAAUCCCACGGCUCAACCGUGGAACGGCUGGGUAUACUGCCUGUCUUGAGCCAACUAGGGGCGAGCGGAACAGACGGUGGAGCGGUGAAAUGCGUAGAUAUCGUCUGGAACGCCAAUGGUGAAGACAGGUUGCUGGGGGUGCGCUGACGCUGAGACACGAAAGCCAGGGGAGCAAACGGG